GAAAAAUACUGGAAAUUCCCUGCGCCCUGCACGGAGAGGCCUUGCUAGGAAAUCAGCAGCCAGGGAGAGAGAGGUCGCUGCCCGCAGGCGGGGCCGGAGCAGGAGGAAGUCGAGGGCGAUAUUGGACACUCUGAGACCCUGCUUUGCCCGCUGUGCCCGUGGCCAUCUGCUUCCACCUCUGGGGACAGCCCUGCCCUUUGGAGCAGGCCGACUCCUACCAGAAAAGGCUGCAGCCUUCUGGUCUCCCUGCCUGGAGCUGACCACCUACUGAGGCCGGCAGGGGUUAUAAACCUCCACCUCCAGGAAGAUCCCUUCCAGCUGUCACCUGCCAAGGAGCUCACCAGCUCCUGAUGUCGGGAGGUGAGGAUCUUGGCUGCAACAAAACCAAACGAGG
rnacentral:lncRNA from 1 species